rfam:TPA: Bos taurus chromosome 12, whole genome shotgun sequence.
UCCAUGGUGGCCCAGAUGGUAAAGCAUCUGCCCGCAAUGCAGGAAAUCCAGGUUCAAUUCCUGGGUCAGGAA